AAGAGUAAAGUACUUCCGCUUCCUUAGGUGGAGCUGGAAAGGUGGAGGCGGAAGUGACUGAUCAAUUCAGGGGCGUGGGGUUCGUUUAGGUUUUGCCCUGUGUAUGACCUCGUUUGGAGCCAUGAAACCAGGUCUGUGAAAUUUAGUGUCUAUUUUCUACCAUAACACAUGUUAAUUUGGACUAACCACAUUUCGAGUGCUCAGUAGCCACAUGUGGCUAGCGACUACUAUCUUGAGCAAUGCAACGAUAAGUCUGCACUUACGUUCAAAAAGACUUAAAGCAGGGAUCGACAACCCCCAGGCCACAGACUGGUAUGGAUCCAUGGCCUGUUAAGAACUGUGCCACACAGCAGGAGGUCACCAUGUGUGAUGACUACAUCCAAAGAGAGUGAGUGGCUUGAGACAUUGGUAGUAUGUGUAUCUGAUCAUAUCAAUAUGUUAAAAUGACGUUCAAAGUAUGAUCUACCUCAGAAUAAUCUAGCCUCAAGCUUUAUUCUAGGAAGGUAAUUCUGAAGAUACCUAUCUUCUUGAGAGUGAAAUUUUAUGGAAUCCUAGAUUUCUCAUACCUAGGAAUAACAAUACAAGGGACAGAAUAGUUAGCAGUGUUCCUGUUGAAAGGUCCAAGUAUCUCCCUAGGCACAGAAAACACCCAAAUGAGCAAAGCAGACCUUGGUGGCCAGAGGGGAGCCCUCAGGUAGAGCUGCAGAUGCUGGCAGUUUGUGUUAGAAGGUUCCGGGGCUAAACAGAUGCCUAGAAUUAGCCACCAAAAGGUAAAUUGUAGACUCCACUCUUCAAGAAGCAGCAGAAGGAUUAGGAAUUCAAACAGUGCUAUUUUACGGUCAUAAGAACAGACAGUAUUUUUUUGGCGCAGCAAGAACUUCUUAGGCCAUAAAGCAUGACAGACCUCUUUUCCUUAUGCGCUGAAUUGAAGAAGUGCUGACUCUUUUGCUGAUGGAAGCUCUUCCACGAGUUCACGAAUGGAAAUAACAUCAAGAGUUUUUCAUCUUCUUAGUGUGCAAGGUAUGGAUAUUCUGUGUGUGAACUUCAAGAGUAUCUAAGGGAGGCAAUAACAUGGUUGAUAAUAUACCAGAGACUACAAACUGUCUGUGCAUCCCAGAGGAACAGGAAGCUUGUGCAGGUGAAAAGACUGGAGGAGGAAGUAUGUUGAUGAUACCCAGGAAGCCCACCUUCCACUUCUUUGGUCAUCAGAAGUAAGAAAAAGGACAAUUAAAUAAGUGGUUAAUAGUUGUUUAGAGAAAGAGAAUUUUCACUUUAUAUGCCAGUCAUUGAUAAUAUUUGCCAUAGUGGUUGCUGUUAAGUAAGUUUCUUCCUGCAGGCCUGUGAGAAGGCAUAGUACAUGAAAGUAGCAGUGCUUUCAACCUGAUUAUUAUUAUACAGUAUGGACUUUUAUUAUAUAACAAGCAAUACUUACAUUUUGUUAUUUACUUAUUUAUUACUAUACACUUACACAUAUGCAGACACAGUAAUAAACAUCUAAGUGGUACAAAUAGGUACAAAACCAAAAAUAAAAGUCUGCCUUCUAACUUC
rnacentral:lncRNA from 1 species